rnacentral:tRNA from 1 species
GGUGCCUUAGUGCAGUGGUCAGCACGUUUCGUUGUGGCCGAAGAGACCUGGGUUCAAAUCUCAGAGGCGCCA